ensembl:piRNA 21ur-9216 ncRNA
UUUUUGCGAUCACAGUACACA